CCACCCCACCCGCAGCUCCUAGAGCCCACCUCCUUGUGUCCACAGCUGUGGGAGCUCCUCACCCCCUCCGAAAGAAGAAGAAGAGUGUGAAGAAGCAUCGCCGAGACAGGUACCCUUGCUGCCCCCAUCCUGGGGCCUCCUAUUCCUCCCGUGGGGCCCAGGGCCAGGGCUGUGGUCCUUCAUAGGUCUCCCUGGGCCACCCCAGGCAGGCUCAAGGGAACUUCUUUAUUGCCCUACAGGUCUGAUUCUGGGUCCCGGAGGAAGAGACGGCACAGAUCUCGAAGCUCCAAGAGCAAAAGAAAAGAGAAGAACAAAGAGAGGAAGAGGCCUCACACAGAGUCCCCAGGCCGGAGGUCUCAUCGCCAUAGCAGUGGCAGCUCCCACAGCCCCUCCCUCUCCUCCCACUACAGUGAUUCCAGAUCUCCCAGCAGGCUGAGCCCCAAGCACCGAGACGAAGGGCGAAAGACGGGCAGCCAGCGGUCCAGCGGAAGCCGGUCGCCUUCCCCGUCGGGCGGCAGCGGAUGGGGGUCGCCCCAGCGGAACGGCGGCAGCGGGCAGCGGAGCGGAGCGCACGGGGGCCGCCCCGGCUCGGCGCACAGCCCGCCCGAUAAGCCCAACUCGCCCUCGCCCAGGGCCCGUGACAAGGCGGCGGCCGCCGCACCCACGCCGCCCGCGCGGGGAAGGAGAGCCCGA
rnacentral:lncRNA from 1 species